AUUGAACGCUGGCGGCGGGCUUAACACAUGCAAGUCGAGCGGAGAGAAGUAGCUUGCUACUGAUCUUAGCGGCGGACGGGUGAGUAAUGCUUAGGAAUCUGCCUAUUAGUGGGGGACAACAUUCCGAAAGGGAUGCUAAUACCGCAUACGCCCUACGGGGGAAAGCAGGGGAUCUUCGGACCUUGCGCUAAUAGAUGAGCCUAAGUCGGAUUAGCUAGUUGGUGGGGUAAAGGCCUACCAAGGCGACGAUCUGUAGCGGGUCUGAGAGGAUGAUCCGCCACACUGGGACUGAGACACGGCCCAGACUCCUACGGGAGGCAGCAGUGGGGAAUAUUGGACAAUGGGCGGAAGCCUGAUCCAGCCAUGCCGCGUGUGUGAAGAAGGCCUUUUGGUUGUAAAGCACUUUAAGCGAGGAGGAGGCUCUUAAGGUUAAUACCCUUGAUGAGUGGACGUUACUCGCAGAAUAAGCACCGGCUAACUCUGUGCCAGCCGCCGCCGUAAUAC
rnacentral:rRNA from 1 species